rnacentral:rRNA from 1 species
AAGACCUCAAAUCAGGUGGGACUACCCGCUGAACUUAAGCAUAU